UACGGGGGGGGUAAGCGUUGUUCGGAAUUACUGGGCGUAAAGGGCUCGUAGGCGGCCAACUAAGUCAUACGUGAAAUCCCUCAGCUUAACUGGGGAACUGCGUGUGAUACUGGAUGGCUUGAAUUCGGGAGAGGGAUGCAGAAUUCCAGGUGUAGCGGUGAAAUGCGUAGAUAUCUGGAGGAACACCGGUGGCGAAGGCGGGUCUCUGGGCCGUAACUGACGCUGAGGAGCGAAAGCGUGGGGAGCGAACAGG
rnacentral:rRNA from 1 species